AGCGGCGAACGGUCGCGUAACACGUAAGAAAAGACCCCAAGACCGGGACAACAGCGCGAAAGGGCUGCUAAUACCGGAUGUGGCCACAGGAUCGCAUGGUCUUGUGAUUAAAGCAUCGAAAGAUGGCUUGGGGAGGGGCUUGCGGCCUAUCACCUAGUUGGUGGGGUAACGGCCUACCAAGGCGACGACGGGUAGCUGGUCUGAGAGGACGGCCAGCCGGACUGGGACUGAGAUACGGCCCAAACUCCUACGGGGGGCAGCAAUUAGGAAUCUUGCGCAACGGGGGCAACCCUGACGCAGCGACGCCGCGUGGAGGAGGAAGUCCUUCGGGAUGUAAACUCCUUUUAGGUGAGAAGAAGGAUGUGACGGUAUCACCUGAAUAAGCCCCGGCUAACUACGUGCCAGCAGCCGCGGUAAUACGUAGGGGGCGAGCGUUGUCCGAAGUUACUGGGCGUAAAGCGCGCGUAGGCGGGUUGAUAAGUGAGAAGUGAAAGGCUGAGGCUCAACCUCAUGCAGGGCUUCUCA
rnacentral:rRNA from 1 species